UAGAACAAAUGUUUAUUGAAUUCUGAAUUCUUAUUUCUUUAAUAAAUAAGUACUUUGAUUGAAUACUUCUAAAAGAUCAAUAUUGAAUUCAGUGUGCUUUGAGUUACGAUAGAUUAAAAAUUCAGUUUCUCAACAUAUUAAUAUGAAUUGACGGAUAUCUGGUGAUUCAAGCCAUCAUGAUGCGUUUUUUGAUGAGGAAAGAAUUUUUUCCGAACAAAAUUAUGAUGGCAUCAUGAGGUCACAACUGCGAUGUGAAUUCUGCCUUACAGUAAACAGUUCUUAUUUUGUGAUAAAACAUCUCAAAAUUGCCUGUGAAAAUUGUUUGAAUUCACAAACGAUUCCAACUUGUGAGGAAUUCGGAUCUACAAAAAAAUUGAAUUCAGUGGAAUGUCAUCUAUCUGUCGUUUGUAGAGGAAAAGCGAAAUGGCGUUGCUCUGGUUAAAUUAAUUAUUGUGAUAAUUGCCACAUAUAAAUUGUUUGAUACUGGAAAAGAAAGAUUGAAAAUGCAAGCCAGAACCAUUAUUCAUUCAUCAUCCAUCAUUUUGUGUCGAGUGUAAGCUUAUACCUGUUGAAUUCAGGAGUGAAGAUGGGAAGAAUCUCUGCCAUAGAUGUGCAACAACAUCCUUAAGAUCAGCAGCCAUCAUAAGAAUUCAACAAUCUAAAAUUGAUGAAUUCAAACAUUCACUUUCAACAAUUUCAAUAGAUCUGGACCGAAUUAUUCAUCUGAAUAGAAUUCAAAUAGCUAAAUUGAAUUUUCUAAGGGAAGAGUUUUCGACGAUAAUAAAUAUGCUAUUUCAAGCAAUCGAGCUGCGGUUGAGGGAUUGAAAAAUCUUCACAGCAACUAUUUCGAAUGUGAAUCAAAGCAGGAGAUUUUGCAAAACAUUGCUGAAUUCAUGAAUAAACAAUCACUUUUUUUGAAUUUGAUUGCCAACAAACAAAUUGAUUGCGAAGAGUUUGGACAAAUUGUGAAUAGAGUUAAAGAAAAAGUUGGAAUUCUGAAUGAAGCAUUGAUGGUUCCUAUCUUGAAUUGUGAACUUGAAAGGACACCAUUCUCUUGUUCACAGAAUUCCUCUGAAGCCUAUGUCACGCGUUUACAUGAUGCUGAUGCAAGCGCUGCUUCAGUGAGUUGCAACUUUCAUCAGGAUGUCCGUCAAUCUGUACAAAUUCAGAAUUCACAGAUUUAUCCGCCUGGUGAAUUGAUCGAUUUUCCAUCAUCAGAAGAAGUGCAAACAACUAACAUUUUUUUUGUGAUCCAUUUUGGAUGUUCAUGGUAAUACCAGGUCAGCUACAAAGGAGACGAGACAAUCUUGCUAACAUUCAAAAUAGCACAGAACCAACACCAUUGAUUUCAUAAUCCAUAAAGCUUGAUACGGAAGUUUUGUCCAGAGACACACGGGAAAUUCCUGAUGAAUAUCCAUUAAAGAGAGGUAUAAUUGUUCGUCUUUCCUCUCGACCAGGAGGCACAUACUGUUGUCAAUCUCUUGAUUUUGGAUACAAGCUUGCCAAAGGAAUUCAAUUUUUAUUCAAAGUUCCUCCGGAAUUAGUAGGAAAACCCCCAACAGUGUUCAAUUGUAAGAUGAUGGGAAUAAAGCCUGUAUCCGGGUUCACAUUCACUGAUGUUUUUACAGAAAAUGCCUGUUCAGUUAUGCGUCGAUUGGCAAAAAUCACUAAUUAUAAAGUAUACAUACGGCGAUACUUCAAAGUACCAGAUAAAUAUGACACCAUAUUUUGUCACGUCGUAUGUUUGUUAUGCAGAACUCGAUUGGAUUGGUCCGAAAAGUUGAUAUCUUCUAAGGUUGCAAUUGAAUUCAAGGAUUCAAAUCAAUGCUUCCGACCAAGGGAAGAUUACUGUUAUCUUCAUCACGUUCUCAAUGGCUGCAUUCAAUCUGAAUGUUACAAAAAUCAUUCUUGCCAAUUCUGUCCAGAUAACGCAAACUCGAACAGGCUUAAGGAAUGCGAAGCAUACAUUGAAGCCGAAAAACAACUUCUGAUGGAAUGAAUUCAUUUUGUUCUCCUUAUUUAUUUUCAUAUCAUAAAAGUUUUCAGUUUAUAAUGUAACCAAAGAUACUGAAUCCUUCAAAUUUCUUUUAAAAAGUUGAAUAAGUUAUUACCAUUGUGUAUCAGGGUCCUGAAUUCUCAUUUUUUCAUUGUA